rnacentral:hammerhead_ribozyme from 1 species
AUCCACAAUACGAGUCCCAAAUUGGACGAAACGCGCGUCCUGGAU